CCUUUGACGUUAGCGGCGGACGGGUGAGUAACACGUGGGUAACCUACCUAUAAGACUGGGAUAACUUCGGGAAACCGGAGCUAAUACCGGAUAAUAUUUCGAACCGCAUGGUUCGAUAGUGAAAGGUGGUUUUGCUAUCACUUAUAGAUGGACCCGCGCCGUAUUAGCUAGUUGGUAAGGUAACGGCUUACCAAGGCGACGAUACGUAGCCGACCUGAGAGGGUGAUCGGCCACACUGGAGCUGAGACACGGUCCAGACUCCUACGGGAGGCAGCAGGC
rnacentral:rRNA from 1 species